UUUUAUGAGGGGCUAUCCUCGUGUUUCCACAGGUCAGAGUGUUUUAUGAGGGGCUAUCCUCGUGUUUCCACAGGUCAGAGUGUUUUAUGAGGGGCUAUCCUCGUGUUUCCACAGGUCAGAGUGUUUUAUGAGGGGCUAUCCUUGUGUUUCCACAGGUCGGAGGGUUUUAUGAGGGGCUAUCCUGGUGUUUCCACAGGUCAGAGGGUUUUAUGAGGGGCUAUCCUCGUGUUUCCACAGGUCAGAGGAUCCAGAGGGUUUUAUGAGGGGCUAUCCUGGUGUUUCCACAGGUCGGAGUGUUUUAUUAGGGGCUAUCCUCGUGUUUCCACAGGUCAGAGGGUUUUAUGAGGGGCUAUCCUCGUGUUUCCACAGGUCAGAGGGUUUUAUGAGGGGCUAUCCUCGUGUUUCCACAGGUCAGAGGGUUUUAUGAGGGGCUAUCCUGGUGUUUCCACAGGUCAGAGAGUCCAGAGGGUUUUAUGAAGGGCUAUCCUGGUGUUUCCACAGGUCAGAGGGUUUUAUGAGGGGCUAUCCUGGUGUUUCCACAGGUCAGAGGGUUUUAUGAGGGGCUAUCCUGGUGUUUCCACAGGUCAGAGGGUUUUAUGAGGGGCUAUCCUCGUGUUUCCACAGGUCAGAUGGUUUUAUGAGGGGCUAUCCUGGUGUUUCCACAGGUCAGAGAGUCCAGAGGGUUUUAUGAAGGGCUAUCCUCGUGUUUCCACAGGUCAGAGGGUUUUAUGAGGGGCUAUCCUCGUGUUUCCACAGGUAAGAGGGUUUUAUGAGGGGCUAUCCUGGUGUUUCCACAGGUCAGAGAGUCCAGAGGGUUUUAUGAGGGGCUAUCCUCGUGUUUCCACAGGUCAGAGGGUUUAAUUAGGGGCUAUCCUGGUGUUUCCACAGGUCAGAGGGUUUUAUGAGGGGCUAUCCUGGUGUUUCCACAGGUCAGAGGGUUUUAUGAGGGGCUAUCCUGGUGUUUCCACAGGUCAGAGGGUUUUAUGAGGGGCUAUCCUCGUGUUUCCACAGGUCAGAUGGUUUUAU